CCUACGGGGGGCAGCAGUGGGGAAUAUUGCACAAUGGGCGAAAGCCUGAUGCAGCAACGCCGCGUGAGUGAUGACGGCCUUCGGGUUGUAAAACUCUGUCUUCAGGGACGAUAAUGACGGUACCUGAGGAGGAAGCCACGGCUAACUACGUGCCAGCAGCCGCGGUAAUACGUAGGUGGCAAGCGUUGUCCGGAUUUACUGGGCGUAAAGGGAGCGUAGGCGGAUGUUUAAGUGGGAUGUGAAAUACUCGGGCUCAACUUGAGUGCUGCAUUCCAAACUGGAUAUCUAGAGUGCAGGAGAGGAAAGGAGAAUUCCUAGUGUAGCGGUGAAAUGCGUAGAGAUUAGGAAGAAUACCAGUGGCGAAGGCGCCUUUCUGGACUGUAACUGACGCUGAGGCUCGAAAGCGUGGGGAGCAAACAGGAUU
rnacentral:rRNA from 1 species